rnacentral:rRNA from 1 species
UACGUAGGGCGCAAGCGUUAUCCGGAAUUAUUGGGCGUAAAGAGCUCGUAGGCGGUCUGUCGCGUCUGCCGUGAAAUCCCGAGGCUUAACCUCGGGCCUGCGGUGGAUACGGGCAGACUAGAGGUAGGUAGGGGAGAAUGGAAUUCCCGGUGUAGCGGUGAAAUGCGCAGAUAUCGGGAGGAACACCGGUGGCGAAGGCGGUUCUCUGGGCCUUACCUGACGCUGAGGAGCGAAAGCGUGGGGAGCGAACAGG